UGCGAGUUGAUGGGAUACCUAAAUCUCCCAUGGCAAACUGCUCAGUAACACAUGAUCAACUUACCCUAUAGAGAAAAAUAACCUCGGGAAACUGAGGAUAAUAUUUCAUAGUUGAAUAGGCUUGGAAAAGUUUUUCAAUAAAAGGGAUAAAAAAAAUGGUUUUUAUCUGCUAUAGGAUAGGAUCGUGGUCGAUUAUGGUCGUUGGUGAGGUAAUGGCUCACCAAGCCGAUAAUCGAUAGGGGCCGUGAGAGCGGGAGCCCCGAGAUGGGUACUGAGACAGCGACCCAGGCCUUACGAGGCGAAGCAGGCGCGGAACCUCCGCAAUACACGAAAGUGUGACGGGGUUACCCAAAGUGUUCAAUUUUGAACUGUGGUAGGUGAGUAAUGUUCCCUACUAGAAAGGAGAGGGCAAGGCUGGUGCCAGCCGCCGCGGUAAAACCAGCUCUUCAAGUGGUCGGGAUAAUUAUUGGGCUUAAAGUGUCCGUAGCCGGUUUAGUAAGUUCCUGGUAAAAUCGGGUAGCUUAACUAUCUGCAUGCUAGGAAUACUGCUAUACUAGAGGGCGGGAGAGGUCUGAGGUACUACAGGGGUAGGGGUGAAAUCUUAUAAUCCUUGUAGGACCACCAGUGGCGAAGGCGUCAGACUGGAACGUGCCUGACGGUGAGGGACGAAAGCCAGGGGAGCGAACCGGAUUAGAUACCCGGGUAGUCCUGGCCGUAAACGAUGCAUACUAGGUGAUGGCAUGGCCAUGAGCCGUAUC
rnacentral:rRNA from 1 species